GACGAACGCUGGCGGCGUGCUUAACACAUGCAAGUCGAACGGAAAGGCCCUGCUUUUGUGGGGUGCACGAGUGGCGAACGGGUGAGUAACACGUGAGUAACCUGUCCCUGACUUUGGGAUAACUUCAGGAAACUGGGGCUAAUACCGGAUAGGAGCUCCUGCUGCACGGGGGUGGUUGGAAAGUUUCGGCGGUUGGGGAUGGACUCGCGGCUUAUCAGCCUGUUGGUGGAGUAGUGGCUUACCAAGGCUUUGACGGGUAGCCGGCCUGGGAGGGUGACCGGCCACAUUGGGACUGAGAGACGGCCCAGACUCGUACGGGACGCAACAGUCGGAAGUAUUGCACAAUGGCCGGAAGCCUGAUGCAGCAACCCCGCGUUCGGGAUGACGGCCUUCGAGUUGUAAACCACUUUCGCCUGAGACGAAGCGUUAGUGACGGUAAUGGGUAAAGAAGCACCGGCUAACUACGUG
rnacentral:rRNA from 1 species